rnacentral:rRNA from 1 species
UACAGAGGGCUCAAGCGUUGCGCGGAAUCACUGGGCUUAAAGCGUACGUAGGCGGGCAUGAAAGUAUCGUGUGAAAUCCCCCGGCUCAACCGGGGAAUUGCACGAUAAACUUCAUGUCUUGAGGUCGGUAGGGGCCGUCGGAACGCUCGGUGGAGCGGUGAAAUGCGUAGAUAUCGAGCGGAACGCCGAAGGUGAAGACAGGCGGCUGGGCCGAAACUGACGCUGAGGUACGAAAGCGUGGGGAGCAAACGGG